rnacentral:snoRNA from 1 species
GUGAAGAGUCUGCAAGAGUGUCCUAAAAGAAGAAGCUUCAAUCUGGCAUGCCUGAGGUCUUUGGGGGGCAGGGGAUGCGUACUUCCUUUGGCUGCCUACGUGCAUACGUGC